CUCAUUAGGCUUCCAAGGACACGCGCGCGCCAGACGAACAAAGCCAGUUAAAAGCAGUAUCAAGUGGAGUGUGGCCACGGUUGUCACAGGCGAGGAGGGAAAAUUACGUAGGAGCAGGUGUUUCAGAAGCAAGUGGCCAUACCUGUGUUGUGAUUUCCGGCUACUACAUGGCGAGCUACAACCACCGCCACCACCUGAUCCCUGCACUGAGCAAACUAAGUAAGGCAGGAAGCGGCUGAAGAGAAGAAGAAGAAGAAGGAGGAGAAAGAGAAAGAGUAAGGGAGACGCUUCAAACCAAACCAAACCAGACCACUCCAGGAGCACGGCCGGGCAGAGGGAAUGAGGGAGACUGACGAAGGGAGGAGGCAGACCCAUCAGAACAUGCUGGCUGAUUGUGGCAAGAGAGAGGAGGAGGAGGAGGAUGGACGAGAAGAAGAACAAGAAGAAAGAGGAGGAGGAGGAGGAAGAGAAGGAGGGGGAAGAGGAGGAGGAUGGACAAAA